rnacentral:rRNA from 1 species
GAGUGAGUGGCGAACUGGUGAGUAACACGUGGGAAACCUGCCCAGAAGCGGGGGAUAACACCUGGAAACAGAUGCUAAUACCGCAUAACAACUUGGACCGCAUGGUCCGAGCUUGAAAGAUGGCUUCGGCUAUCACUUUUGGAUGGUCCCGCGGCGUAUUAGCUAGAUGGUGGGGUAACGGCUCACCAUGGCAAUGAUACGUAGCCGACCUGAGAGGGUAAUCGGCCACAUUGGGACUGAGACACGGCCCAAACUCCUACGGGAGGCAGCAGUAGGGAAUCUUCCACAAUGGACGAAAGUCUGAUGGAGCAACGCCGCGUGAGUGAAGAAGGGUUUCGGCUCGUAAAACUCUGUUGUUAAAGAAGAACAUAUCUGAGAGUAACUGUUCAGGUAUUGACGGUAUUUAACCAGAAAGCCACGGCUAACUACGUGCCAGCAGCCGCGGUAAUACGUAGGUGGCAAGCGUUGUCCGGA